GUCCCCAUCGUCUAGCGGUCUAGGACGCUGGCCUUUCACGCCAGCAACACGGGUUCGAACCCCGUUGGGGAUG
rnacentral:tRNA from 1 species